rnacentral:rRNA from 1 species
UCUACGGGUGGCAGCAGUGGGGGAUAUUGCACAAUGGGGGAAACCCUGAUGCAGCGACGCCGCGUGAGUGAAGAAGUAUUUCGGUAUGUAAAGCUCUAUCAGCAGGGAAGAAAAUGACAGUAACUGACCAAGAAGCCCCGGCUAACUACGUGCCAGCCGCCGCGGUAAUACGUAGGGGGAGAGCGUUAUCCGGAUUGACUGGGUGUAAAGGGCGCGUAGAAGGGUAUGUAAGCCUGUAGUGAAAGCCCGGGGCCCAACCCCGGGACUGCUUUGGACACUGUGUAACUGGAGUACAGGAGGGGCAGGCGGAAUUCCUGGUGUAGCGGUGAAAUGCGUAGAUAUCAGGAGGAACACCGGCGGCGAAGGCGGCCUGCUGGACUGAAACUGACGUUGAGGCUCGAAAGCGUGGGGAGCAAACAGGAUUAGAUACCCGUGUAGUC